rnacentral:lncRNA from 1 species
UUAUACAACAUCAACAAUUAUGAAAAACUUUUAUUCCAACAUAUUGUAAUAAAAAAUUCACAAAAAUAAUAACCAGUAUAAAUACAAUUGUAUGCAAAUGUCCUUGGUCAGAAGUCUGCUGUUCAGUAGUUGUCGUUUGUUGUUAUGGUUCAUAAGUGUUUCUCGUUUCUCAUUUUGUAUACAAAUUAGGCUGCUGCUUUCCUGUUUAAAUUGUUUUUCACUAGUCAUUUUGGGGCCCUUGAUAGCUUGCAGUUCGGUGUGAGCCAAAUUAUGAAUGCGUGUUGAAGUCCGUACUUUAACCUGUAAUUGUUAACUUUAUAUAUAUACAUUGUUAUUUCGAUGGAGAGUUGUCUCAAUGGCACUAAUACCACAUCUUCUUAUUUAUAUGUAUAUAUAAAAACUAACAAAUCCUUGCAAAAAAUACAUACUCAGUAUACUAUUUGCAGUUAUAAUUAUAUGAAAACCGUUUUAUAAUAUUUAUUUCCACCUAUGUUGUCGAAUGCACAAGUCUUUUUGGAUUACGCUUCACCAAAG